CGGUGGAAUGCGCAGAUAUCAGGAGGAACACCGAUGGCGAAGGCAGGUCUCUGGGCAUUAACUGACGCUGAGGAGCGAAAGCAUGGGGAGCGAACAGGAUUAGAUACCCUGGUAGUCCAUGCCGUAAACGUUGGGCACUAGGUGUGGGGGACAUUCCACGUUUUCCGCGCCGUAGCUAACGCAUUAAGUGCCCCGCCUGGGGAGUACGGCCGCAAGGCUAAAACUCAAAGAAAUUGACGGGGGCCCGCACAAGCGGCGGAGCAUGCGGAUUAAUUCGAUGCAACGCGAAGAACCUUACCAAGGCUUGACAUGAACCGGAAAGGCGUAGAAAUACGUCCCCCACUUGUGGUCGGUUUACAGGUGGUGCAUGGUUGUCGUCAGCUCGUGUCGUGAGAUGUUGGGUUAAGUCCCGCAACGAGCGCAACCCUCGUUCUAUGUUGCCAGCACGUGAUGGUGGGGACUCAUAGGAGACUGCCGGGGUCAACUCGGAGGAAGGUGGGGAUGACGUCAAAUCAUCAUGCCCCUUAUGUCUUGGGCUUCACGCAUGCUACAAUGGCCGGUACAAAGGGUUGCGAUACUGUGAGGUGGAGCUAAUCCCAAAAAGCCGGUCUCAGUUCGGAUUGGGGUCUGCAACUCGACCCCAUGAAGUCGGAGUCGCUAGUAAUCGCAGAUCAGCAACGCUGCGGUGAAUACGUUCCCGGGCCUUGUACACACCGCCCGUCAAGUCACGAAAGUUGGUAACACCCGAAGCCGGUGGCCUAACCCCUUGUGGAGGGAGCCG
rnacentral:rRNA from 1 species